rnacentral:rRNA from 1 species
AACGAACGCUGGCGGCGGGCUUAACACAUGCAAGUCGAACGGUGAACGAGGUAGCUUGCUCCCUCCGGAGCGUUGGCCAACGGGUGGUUAACACGUGAUCAAUCUACCCCUGACUCUGGGAUAAGCGUUGGAAACGACGUCUAUUACCGGAUACUUCGCCGGCGGGCAUCCUCUCCGCGUUGAAAGAACUUCGUUUCGGGAUGAGCUCGCGGCCUAUCAGCUUUGUGUUGUGGUAACGGAUCACCAAGGCGACGCCGUGUAGCCGGCCUGGGAGGGUGACCGGACACACUGGGCCUGAGACAAGGCACAGACUCGACUGGGAGGCAGCAGAGGAGUAUAUUGCACAAUGGGAGGAAGCAAGACGCAGUAAAGCCGUGUGAGGGAAGACGGCAUUCGGGUUGUAUACCAAUUCUCGCACGGCAGAAGCGAAAGUGACGGUACCUGCAGAAAAAGCCCCGGCUAACUCCGUG